rnacentral:rRNA from 1 species
CAGCCGCCGCGGGAAUACGAAGGGGGCUAGCGUUGUUCGGAUUUACUGGGCGUAAAGGGCGCGUAGGCGGAUUUGUAAGUCAGGGGUGAAAUCCCGAGGCUCAACCUCGGAACUGCCUUUGAUACUGUGGAUCUUGAGUCCGGGAGAGGUGAGUGGAACUGCGAGUGUAGAGGUGAAAUUCGUAGAUAUUCGCAAGAACACCAGUGGCGAAGGCGGCUCACUGGCCCGGAACUGACGCUGAGGCGCGAAAGCGUGGGGAGCAAACAGGAUUAGAUACCCCUGUAGUCCCUGUCUCUUAUAC